rnacentral:rRNA from 1 species
UACGUAGGGUGCAAGCGUUGUCCGGAAUUAUUGGGCGUAAAGAGCUCGUAGGCGGUCUGUCGCGUCCGUUGUGAAAACUCGAGGCUCAACCUCGGGCUUGCAGUGGAUACGGGCAGACUAGAGUGCGGUAGGGGAGACUGGAAUUCCUGGUGUAGCGGUGGAAUGCGCAGAUAUCAGGAGGAACACCGAUGGCGAAGGCAGGUCUCUGGGCCGCAACUGACGCUGAGGAGCGAGAGCAUGGGGAGCGAACAGG